rnacentral:rRNA from 1 species
GAUUUCGGUUGUAUCUUAGUGGCGAACGGGUGAGUAACGCGUGAGCAACCUGACUCUUAGAGGGGGAUAACACCUGGAAACAAGUGCUAAUACCGCAUAAGACCACGACCCGGCAUCGGGAUGAGGUCAAAGGAGCAAUCCGCUGAGAGAGGGGCUCGCGUCCCAUUAGAUAGAUGGCGGGGUAACGGCCCACCAUGUCAGCGAUGGGUAGCCGAGCUGAGAGGCUGAUCGGCCACACUGGAACUGAGACACGGUCCAGACUCCUACGGGAGGCAGCAGUGGGGAAUAUUGGGCAAUGGGCGCAAGCCUGACCCAGCAACGCCGCGUGAGGGAAGAAGGCUUUCGGGUUGUAAACCUCUGUCCUUGGUGACGAAACAAAUGACGGUAGCCAAGGAGGAAGCCCCGGCUAACUACGUGCCAGCAGCCGCGGUAAUACGUAGGGGGCGAGCGUUGUCCGGAAUUACUGGGCGUAAAGGGUGCGUAGGUGGCCUUUUAAGUUGGAUGUGAAAUACCCGGGCUUAACUUGGGGGGUGCAUCUAAUACUGGAGGGCUAGAGUGCAGGAGAGGAAAGCGGAAUUCCUAGUGUAGCGGUGAAAUGCGUAGAUAUUAGGAGGAACACCAGUGGCGAAGGCGGCUUUCUGGACUGUAACUGACACUGAGGCACGAAAGCGUGGGGAGCAAACAGGAUUAGAUACCCUGGUAGUCCACGCGGUAAACGAUGAAUACUAGGUGUAGGGGGUAUCAACUCCCCCUGUGCCGGAGCUAACGCAAUAAGUAUUCCGCCUGGGGAGUACGGCCGC